CUUCACCAUCCCGUCACCCUCAGCCUCUCAUCAUCCAACUCCAGAAGCUCUCAUCUCUCCUGCCUGGCUGCCUGAACCAAAGGGUCAUUGCAAGCUGGGAACCUGGGAUGGGUUGGCCGGACUGCUCGGUGGCGGCAAGGGCGGCUCCAGGAGGAAACAUUUAUCUGUGGAUGCAUGUGGAAAGGGAAGGCGGCCACUUCGAUUGGAGACCGAGGCUCCACGGGCGGAAGCUUAUCUUGUAGGCAUCACGCGGCCGCCGAUGGCAAGCGGCGCGACGCGAGCAGCUCGGUGGCUUACUCCCGACGCUAGCGGGUCGGUGAGCAGGGGAAGCAGAUGCACGCGGGGAUUAAUUUUUGACGCCAUCUCUGCUUCCUCGGUGCGUGCCGUAGCAGAUCGGCCGGCGGUGUCAUCUGGAGAAGACGGUGCGCACAAUGCGCGUCGAGCCGUCUUCUUGUUAUCGGAGCACGGACGGCAGACGACGGCUCGCUUCUCUUUCCUCACUAAUUGCUGUAUACGUCGGAUGAAUCUGUAUAUGUGGCAGUAAAAAGACGGCCGCCGUAAGUGCCAUCUGAUGAGACAACGUAAGAAGGGAGAUGGAUCGGAUUAGUAAUGAUGUAGUACACAUUUAUAGCCAUAUUAUAUGAGUGGGCUAUUACCUGGAUUGGCUCAAGAUGAUAUGGCAAUAGCAUAUACCCAGCAAUCGACUAAAUUAUUAGCCUGGCUCUAAAAAAAGACA